UUCCUACGGGAGGCAGCAGUGAGGAGUUUUGCGCAAUGGGGGAAACCCUGACGCAGCAACGCCGCGUGAGCGAAGAAGGCCUUCGGGUCGUAAAGCUCUGUCAAGUGGGAAAAACGUUUUCCGGUCAAUAGCCGGAAAAUCUGAUGGUACCGCUGGAGGAAGCACCGGCUAACUCCGUGCCAGCAGCCGCGGUAAUACGGAGGGUGCAAGCGUUGUUCGGAAUUAUUGGGCGUAAAGAGCGUGUAGGCGGUUUAGUAAGUCAGAUGUGAAAGCCCUGGGCUCAACCCGGGAAGUGCAUUUGAAACUGCUUUACUGGAGUAUGGGAGAGGAGAGUGGAAUUCCUGGUGUAGAGGUGAAAUUCGUAGAUAUCAGGAGGAACAUCUGUGGCGAAGGCGACUCUCUGGACCAAUACUGACGCUGAGACGCGAAAGCGUGGGUAGCAAACAGGAUUAGAUACCCUGGUAGUCCACGCCGUAUACGAUGAGAACUAGGUGUAGCGGGUAGUGACCCCUGCUGUGCCGAAGUUAACGCAUUAAGUUCUCCGCCUGGGGAGUACGGCCGCAAGGCUAAAACUCAAAUGAAUUGACGGAA
rnacentral:rRNA from 1 species